rnacentral:Y_RNA from 1 species
GGCUGGUCUGAGUGCAGUGACGUUUACACCUAACUGAUCACAACCAGUUAAAGAUUCCUUUGUUCAUUCUUCACUCCUACUGCUUCAGUUGGCUAGCCUUAA